rnacentral:rRNA from 1 species
UAGAUAAGGUCUUGAAACUUAAAGAAUUUGGCGGUGUUUUAGUCUUUUCAGAGGAAUCUGUCCCGUAAUCGAUAAUACACGAAUAAUUCAACUUAAUUUAGUUUUGCAGUUUAUAUACCGUCGUCAUUAGAUUAUCUUAUAAAAGUAGAAGAAUCGAGAUUUUAAAAUAAGAAGGAUGUCAGAUCAAGGUGUAGCCAAUGAUUAAGGGGAGAUGGAUUACAAUAAAAUUAUUUAAACGGAGGUUAAUAUGAAAAUGUAAUGGAAGGUGGAUUUGAUAGUAAAUUUAUUUAUUAGUAAUUUGAUUUUAGCUCUAAAACAUGCACACAUCGCCCGUCGCUCUCAUUAGUAAGAUGAGAUAAGUCGUAACAAAGUAGUCGUACUGGAAAGUGUGUCUAGAAAGU